UGUGCAAAAAGCCUUGAGGGUUGGACAAGAUAACAGUAGUUUUACAAGAACCUGGAAGGCAAUGAAAAACUUUUAUGGUGUUCUUAAUGUGAAAUUAUUAUUUUUCACUGCUGUUCUGUGCACACAGUAGCUGCUGGCACAGUUUCAAUGGUUAGGUGGCUGACAUGUUAUUUUUGAAUUUUUGAAGUGGCUUUGGGGCCUGACUCAUACACACAAGACAUGGAGCAAAAAAGAAACAGAAGAACUGGUGCUAAGAACCAGUGAAGCCUCUGAUUUGUCUUGUGGUGUGGGCAGAAACAGAUUUUAUUUAAACUGCAACCCCUAAUUGGACUUUUGUUUGUAUCACUCUUCCAAAAUUGUUUCUACAGCAUGAAGAAUGCUCAGGAGAAGGCACUGAAGUUAAGGGCCUUGUUUUAAGACGUGGAACAAACCAGCACAGAGGAGCUUUCCCCAAAAAUGUUCCUCAGGCUCAAAUCUGAACAUGUUGUGUAUUUCAGCCCUCAUUGGGUCUCUCCUUCCCCAUGAGUACUACAGACAGAAAAUAUUUAAAGCAAAAUCACUUUCACUUUCAAGUAAAAGCUUUGUAAGGCAAAGGGGGAGGUGGGAAAGGAGAAAAACGAACUCAUUCUCCAGAGAUUCGAGUCUAGCAGGCUCAUUGCACUGGUGACACUGUCCAGACCUGAGACUGCACCUCCAAAGGCAAAGGGCAGGAGCUAGUUUGUUUAAUUUUGAAUAUUUGCAUAUCUCUUUCUCUCACUGCAUUGGUAUCAGAUCUGCAACAACCUAUUAAAGCUUUCAUUUGAAUAGCCAUUAUAUGCCUGAGAAUGGAGACUGGGCUCCUUGGGAGCGCUUAGGAAUAAACAAAUCAUUUGUGGCACAUGUGUUGUUCAAGCUUCAAGCAAGGAAUUGUGUUUCUCAUUACGUAAAUCUCCAGGCUCUCAGGCAAACCACCACCACCACAGCGAGCCAUUAUGUCCUGCUGUGGUGGUGUCUCCACUUUAAAAAGACUUCUGCACGUGGACUCCUGAACCUGAGAUGUGCCUGGGCAGAGGAAGGAUGUGGAUCCUUGGUCGUUUGCUAACAUGGCUUGGAAAGAAAAUACUGGAAACGAAGCAAAAUAGCAUGAAGUGAAAUCCUAGCAGACAAAUGCUGAACCUGAUGCAACUAAGUUUUUUAAUCAUCCAUUGAAAAAUAUGCCAUCAAUUGCCAGGCAAAUUUCUCAGGUUGAUAUGGCAACUGGAAACACUGGAAAUUAAAAAGCUGAGCAAAUGUU